CUCAGGACGAACGCUGGCGGCGUGCCUAACACAUGCAAGUCGAGCGGGGAAUGUCGGAUAGCUUGCUAUCUGGUAUUUCUAGCGGCGGACGGGUGAGUAACGCGUGAGCAACCUGCCUUUAUCAGGGGGAUAACGCAUCGAAAGAUGUGCUAAUACCGCGUAAGACCACAGCCUCACAUGGGGCAGGGGUCAAAGGAGCAAUCCGGAUAAAGAUGGGCUCGCGUCCGAUUAGCUAGUUGGUGAGAUAACAGCCCACCAAGGCGACGAUCGGUAGCCGACCUGAGAGGGUGAUCGGCCACAUUGGAACUGAGAGACGGUCCAGACUCCUACGGGAGGCAGCAGUGGGGAAUAUUGGGCAAUGGGCGAAAGCCUGACCCAGCAACGCCGCGUGAGGGAAGAAGGGUUUCGGCUCGUAAACCUCUGUCCUAUGGGACGAAGGAAGUGACGGUACCAUAGGAGGAAGCCCCGGCUAACUACGUGCCAGCAGCCGCGGUAAUACGUAGGGGGCGAGCGUUGUCCGGAAUGAUUGGGCGUAAAGGGCGCGUAGGCGGCCUGCUAAGUCUGAAGUGAAAGUCCUGCUUUCAAGGUGGGAAGUGCUUUGGAUACUGGUGGGCUGGAGUGCAGGAGAGGAAAGCGGAAUUACCGGUGUAGCGGUGAAAUGCGUAGAGAUCGGUAGGAACACCAGUGGCGAAGGCGGCUUUCUGGACUGAAACUGACGCUGAGGCGCGAAAGCGUGGGGAGCAAACAGGAUUAGAUACCCUGGUAGUCCACGCGGUAAACGAUGAAUGCUAGGUGUCGGGGAGCAAAGCUCUUCGGUGCCGCCGCAAACGCAUUAAGCAUUCCACCUGGGG
rnacentral:rRNA from 1 species